GACGAACGCUGGCGGCGUGCUUAACACAUGCAAGUCGAACGGAAAGGCCCUGCUUUUGUGGGGUGCUCGAGUGGCGAACGGGUGAGUAACACAUGGGUAACCUGCCCUUGACUUUGGGAUAACUUCAGGAAACUGGGGCUAAUACCGGAUAGGAGCUCCUGCUGCAUGGUGGGGGUUGGAAAGUUUCGGCGGUUGGGGAUGGACUCGCGGCUUAUCAGCUUGUUGGUGGGGUAGUGGCUUACCAAGGCUUUGACGGGUAGCCGGCCUGAGAGGGUGACCGGCCACAUUGGGACUGAGAUACGGCCCAGACUCCUACGGGAGGCAGCAGUGGGGAAUAUUGCACAAUGGGCGGAAGCCUGAUGCAGCAACGCCGCGUGCGGGAUGACGGCCUUCGGGUUGUAAACCGCUUUCGCCUGUGACGAAGCGUGAGUGACGGUAAUGGGUAAAGAAGCACCGGCUAACUACGUG
rnacentral:rRNA from 1 species